AUCCCUCGCUGCUAAGCUAUCCCUCGCUGCUAAGCUAUCACCGCUGCCAACCUAUCUAUUGCUGCUAAGCUAUCACCGCUGCCAACCUAUCUAUUGCUGCUAAGCUAUCCCUCGCUGCUAAGCUAUCGCCGCUGCCAACCUAUCUAUUGCUGCAAGCUAUCCCUCGCUGCUAAGCUAUCCCUCGCUGGCUAUCCCUCACUGCUAAGCUAUCGCCGCUGCCAACCUAUCUAUUGCUGCAAGCUAUCCCUCGCUGCUAAGCUAUCCCUCGCUGCUAAGCUAUCCCUCGCUGCUAAGCUAUCCCUCGCUGCUAAGCUAUCCCUCGCUGCUAAGCUAUCUAUCGCUGCUGUCAAUCUAUCUAUCGCUGCUAAUCUAUCUAUUGCUGCUAAUCUAUCGCUGCUAAUCUAUUGCUGCUGCCAAUCUAUCUAUCACUGCUAAUCUAUCACUGCUAAUCUAUCGCUGCUGCCAAUCUAUCGCUGCUAAUUUAUUGCUGCUGCCAAUCUAUCUAUCACUGCUAAUCUAUUGCUGCUAAUCUAUCACUGCUAAUCUAUCGCUGCUAAUCUAUCGCUGCCAACCUAUCUACCGCGGCGAAUCUAUCUAUCGCUGCCAAUUUAUCUACCACUGCCAAUCUAUCUAUCGCUGCCAAUCUAUUUCUGCUAAUCUAUCGCUGCUAAUCUAUCGCUGCUGCCAAUCUAUCUUUCGCUGCUAAUCUAUCGCCGCUGCCAAUCUAUCCCUCGCUGCCCAUCUAUCGCCGCUGCCAAUCUAUCCCUCGCUGCUAAUCUAUCGCUGUCAACCUAUCUACCGCGGCGAAUCUAUCUAUUGCUGCCAACCAACCUACCUACCACUGCCAACCUAUCUAUCGCUGCCAAUCUAUCGCUGCCAACCUAUCUACUGCAGUGAAUCUAUCUAUCACUAUCAUUACUAGUUCAAAAUAGAACUAGAGCAUAAAUACACUAAACUUCUUUUGAUAGGUAAUGAUUUUUGGUAACACUCAUAGCAUUAUAUCAUCUAUAUAGGGUAAAUCAUGGUCCCAUUUGGUCCCAUUUUAACAAAAUGGGACCAAAUGAGACCAGAAUCAGUAAUUUAUAAGAAGAACAUGACCUGGGACUAGAUUUAUAAUAUAAACAGUGUAAAGUGACUAAUUUAAUAAACACUAUAUGAGACCAGGACUAAGAAAUUUGAUAAUGGAACUGGAGAAAUAUUUAGUCCCAGUUCCAUACAUGAUCACACAGUCAGUCUAGUUGCAUGCAUUCAACAAGGAUUCAAAUUCUAUAAGCCAUG
rnacentral:sRNA from 1 species